rnacentral:rRNA from 1 species
UAGGGAAUCUUCCGCAAUGUGCGAAAGCCUGACGGAGCAACGCCGCGUGAGUGAUGAAGGUCUUCGGAUCGUAAAACUCUGUUAUUAGGGAAGAACAAAUGUGUAAGUAACUAUGCACGUCUUGACGGUACCUAAUCAGAAAGCCACGGCUAACUACGUGCCAGCAGCCGCGGUAAUACGUAGGUGGCAAGCUUUAUCCGGAAUUAUUGGGCGUAAAGCGCGCGUAGGCGGUUUUUUAAGUCUGAUGUGAAAGCCCACGGCUCAACCGUGGAGGGUCAUUGGAAACUGGAAAACUUGAGUGCAGAAGAGGAAAGUGGAAUUCCAUGUGUAGCGGUGAAAUGCGCAGAGAUAUGGAGGAACACCAGUGGCGAAGGCGACUUUCUGGUCUGUAACUGACGCAGAUGUGCGAAAGCGUGGGGAUCAAACAGG